UUAAUGGAAAUGUCAUUUUUCAUCCCUCUCCAAUCCUUUCCCUCAUCACAAGCCCCUUAACUUUUUUGCACACCUCCCCAACCCCUCUUCCCCCUAUUCCUUCUUCACCAUCAUUUCUCUCAUUCUUAUUCCAGCGUCUUUUUUCUUCACAAGGUUCUCAUCUAUCUAUCAAUUAGAUCCAUGGAUGAGCAAUUAAUGGUAUUUAUUUCCGUUUUGAGACUUCCUUAUUUGCAGGAAAAAGCGGCCACCAAUUAUUUUAUCUUUUCUGUGCAAAAUUUUCUGCUUGAGUAUUGCUGGGUAUGCAAUUAAAAUCGAAGGAAUAGGAAGAUAUAUUUUUAUUGUUUCUUCUGUUCUUACAGAAGCUGUUUGUUCAAGAGGACUGCCUUCCUGAAGUUUUUGCACUGACUAUUGUCUGAUUUAUUAUAUUCAUAGCUUCAGUUGGUCAUGGAUUUCUUUUUAAAAAAGUUUCUUCUCUGAUAUUUCCUGUGGUCUACAUAGUCAACCUUCUUUUCCACUUCAGCUCUCUGGUCUGGUCAUAUCUCGUAGUCUUGUAGUUGAACUGAAUUUCUGUGUAGUUCUAAUGCUAAUGCCUUCUUCAUUGCCAGUUGGUUUUAAUAUUUCCAAGCCACAUAGGAAGAGCAUGAACUAAUUAUUUUGCCAGUUGAAGGUGCCUAUGUUCUCUUAUCCUAGGCGUAGGAUAAGGGUAUCAAGUAACCUUGAAAACAUGGCACCUCUGCACCAUCUAUUACAGUUCUUUUGCAGAAAACCAAAGCUUAAGAAAUGAUGAAUGAUCAUCCCCCACCCCCUUCCAAAUUCUACAUUUUUGUGGAUCUGACAUGUACCUUAAAGGUAUUGAAUGUCUAUAUAAAAGUAGAACUCGAGAAUUGAGGAAGAAAAUUGUGGAUACCCUAGAGUGCCUUUCUUAAAGUUUAUUUACGUCUAUAAAAGAAUUUUUAGAACAUGGUGAUAGAUUUAGUUUUUCAAAUGGUAUAUUACUUGUUUCUUCUUCAUGUUAGCUUUAUAUUUUCUUUUUCCUCUCUCAUUGUUGCAGUGACCCACAAUGUACUCUGCUAACUGAAAGGACAGUUUCUGAUUUGGUUUCUUGUACAUAAUACGACAAGAUAUGAUUGGUUUUAAAGCCUUCUGCUGUUUUUACAAGAAUUAUGACCUUUUUUUCCUCCUUUUUCCCCCCAUCCCUAAAGGAGCCAUUCUCGGGCCUGCAUUGAUUUUCUUUGCUGCCAUCAGCACCAGUUUCAGCACUAUUACUUCCAGUGCUGCUGCUUGUGCUCUGUUGUAUACAUGCCAAUGGUUAUGUCCUGGGUCAUUUUCCCGUUUUAGAAGAAAUAACUUUUAAUAGGUAUGUCAUCUUAUUAGCUGCCACUACCUUUUCCUUGGAGUUAUGCUUCUAUGCUGCAGCCUUUAUAAUGUGUAUGUGCUAUCUUAAUGACUGCAUUUUGUUUAAUGACCCCUUUUGGCUUUUCAGACAUGUCAAUAUAUUGGACAAAAAAUUGUGUCUUAAUGAUUUUGCUGAGCAACAAUACUAAUAUGAACAAUCUUUUAUACUAGUAGUGGAUUUCUAAAAGGAACUAACCUGAGUUUACAAACACCAGAGGCAUCUCUUACAAAGCAGGUUGUGGUACCUACAGUUGAAGCAGAUGUUGCAUUUGGCCUUGGGAGAUUAAACUUAACUAACUCUGAAGUUAGAUCCAGGGUGUCAAAAGCUUUGGAUACUGUUGGCAUGUCUGAAUACCUACAGGUAAGAUUUUGUAUUCAACAGCUUUUGGAUAAUAAUGAAGUAUGUUAAAUAUUGUAUGCUUACUCAAGGUUUAUCAUCUUUAAUUUCUUCCCGAGGCCGGUUCAAGCACUUAGUGGUGGUCAAAAGAAAAGGGUUGCCAUUGCUGGUGCUUUAGCUGAAGCAUGUAAAGUUCUGCUUCUGGAUGAGCUUACGACUUUUUUGGAUGAAAGUGAUCAGAUGGGGUUGGUAAAAGCGGUUCAGAAUCUUUUGAAUAUAUAUGGAGAAGUUACAGCAUUGUGAGUGAUCCAUCGUUUGGAAGAACUUGAGUAUACCGAUGGUGCAGUAUACAUGGAAGAUGGAAGAGUGAUUAUGCAUGGUGAUGGAGCAAGCAUAAGUAAUUUCAUCAAAGCAAAGCAAUCUUCAUAUGUCGACCGUAUAAAUUCUUGAGCCAUUGCCUCCUUUUUGUUUCCCUUCCCCUCUCUAUGUUGAUUAUCUUUUGUAUAAUAAAAUUACAAUGUUUGAACAACGUUUACCAUGUCAACUUACUGUGUUUUGGUAAAGCAGAUGUAUGUUUAUGAAUAUGAUUUUGGAGCCUGUUUGUACAUGCUUUGUUUCUCUGUAAUCUAAUUUCACUGUUCCCAUCUCACUAUUAUUGUAAUCUUCUCUCAUGGUACCAUGGGGUCACCAUUAUUGUCGUUGUACAGAUAUUCUUUCUCUUCAGAAUAAUAAGGGUGUUUGAUUUAUGAUGAUACACUUCAAAUCUUAUACCACAAGAAAUACAAAGGGUAGGGAAAACUAACCCGUAUUGUCAUUCAUUUUUUUUCUUUAAUUUCUUCUCUUCAUCACUAGAAAGCUAUUUCUAUUUCAAUUGAUUUUCUAUUUGACUAUCAUGGACUAUCAAUUGGGAUGAAGAAUGGAAAUAAAUAAACAAUGAGCAGGUUUAUAUCAGGACGUAUUAUGAGAUGGUGAAUCAGCAUUAUUUCCGUGCGGAAUGAACAAGAACCAUAGUAGCAUCAAUGCAUCAUGAUAACUUGGUGAGAAUUCUCGAACUGUGUCAUAUUCUUUAGCAAUGGGCAUAUCAACCAAAGAUAGAGCUCUCCAUCAAGCAUCAGCCAUCCCGUAAGUUCCUUCUUCAACUUCUCUCCCUUGUUAAAAAUUAUAUUUGAAACUUGUAAGCUUAGCAUUGUUGGUUAGUACUAAUAUGUCCAAGUUGGUGCAAAGCUUGCCGAAGGUGGGACGUUUAUGAUUUGCCAAUGCUUCAGUCGACGUCAAUAGCUGCGGUAUCAUGACCAGUCAUCCAGUGACCAAAAAUCUGCUUUGCUAAUACAGUAUUUGUAACUCAUGGUGAGUCAGAACCAAAUGAUACCAUGGAAAUGGAAAAUGAAUGGUAUAUUGGGAUCAUUUUAAUGGGUGGGAUUCCACCUUUGAGGACAGAUUCACAAUCUCUCAUGGUUGAGCUUCUCUGACUGAAAGCAAGGACAGGAACACGCUACCGUGGUUGCUAUAAAUGCUUCUAAUUAAAACAAACAAUGUGAAGCUAUUUGCUAAGUUUUGUUACUUGCGACUAUCAAUAGCAAUAACUUGAUCCGGGCUGAAGUUUGUAACUUGAUCCGGGCUGAAGUUUGCUAAGCUCAUUAGGAACAAGCAAGGCAUCAAAGCUUAUGGGAAGAAGAAUUGUCUAUGGUUUUAAACAGAUUUUAUAUAUCUAUUUAUUGUUCAAAGGAUUAAA